rnacentral:misc_RNA from 1 species
CUUCUAUACAGGCGCCACAUGACCCAAAGCAGCUCGAUGCCAGUCGCGUAAGUUAACGAGCGCAACUGCAGCAGAGGCGCGCAGAGCAAAAACAGAGAAAAACACACACUGAAAUACUUAGGAGAAUGAGAAAGUGAAGCAAAUCCCUGAUAAAAGUAGCAAUGUCGAUGAAGAAGAGAUCAAUGGGGUUGUUUUCUUGUGGACAAGGACUCAUAGAAGAAGGAGGAAGAGGAAUGGGAUGUCACGAAGACGAUGAGAUUGAGAAAUUCUCAACAGAUGAUAGAAGCUAUUUUAGCCUUACCGGUGAAAUUCUUCCUUCUCUCGGUAAGAGCGCUGUUUCUAAUCGCCGCCUCCAGCUCCGUCGCUUCAUUAUCUCUCCCUUCGAUCCCCGUUACAGAAUAUGGGACACUUUCCUGGUGUUUCUAGUUUUCUACACGGCAUGGGCGUCUCCUUUUGAAUUCGGAUUCCUUGAGAGGCCGACUGGUCCACUUGCUGUAAUUGAUAAUGUUGUUAAUGCAUUUUUUGCCGUCGACAUUGUUUUGACCUUCUUUGUGGCAUACCUCGAUAGAGUUACUUAUCUUCUCGUUGACGAGCCAAAGAAGAUUGCUUUCAGGUACGCAAAGACCUGGCUAGUCUUUGAUGUUGUCUCCACUAUUCCUUCGGAACUUGUUAGGUCGAUAUUGCCUGAUAGACUUCAGUCUUAUGGAUACUUUAGUAUGCUUCGUCUUUGGCGUCUCAGGAGAGUCAGUCGUUUUUUUGCAAGAUUGGAAAAACAUAGGAACUUUAGCUACUUUUGGGUACGGUGCUUGAAGCUCAUAUGUGUUACCCUCCUUGUAAUUAACAUUGCUGGUUGCUUUUACUAUCGUCUUGCUUUAUCUUAUUAUGACCCAGAAAAGACAUGGAUUGGGUCCGUAUGGAUACACUUUGAGAAGGAAAGCUUGUGGGCCCGUUAUGUGACAUCACUUUACUGGUCGAUAACCACGCUCACUACCACUGGCUAUGGUGAUCUGCAUGCAGUAAAUGAAAGAGAGAUGAUAUUUGUAAUGUGCUACAUGAUGUUUGAUCUUGGACUCACAUCAUAUUUAAUUGGAAAUAUGACCAACUUGGUUGUUCAUGCAACUAGUCGAACAAGGCAAUUUAGAGAUGCUAUCCAAGCUGCAUCAAGUUUUGCACAGAGGAACCGGCUACCUGUUCGUCUGCAAGAUCAGAUGCUUGCUCAUUUGAGUUUGAAGUACAGAACUGAUUCAGAGGGUCUGCAUCAGCAAGAGACAAUUGAUUCCCUUCCAAAGGCCAUUCGAUCAAGCAUUGCAAACUAUCUCUUCUAUAACUUUGUAAAUGAGGUGUACUUGUUUAAAGGGGUAUCAAAUGACUUACUUUUCCAACUGGUCGCGGAGAUGAAGCCUGAGUACUUUCCUCCCAGAGAAGAUGUGAUUUUACAGAAUGAAGCACCGACAGACAUGUACAUAUUGGUCACUGGUUCAGUGGAUCUUAUUGUGCCAAAGGGGCCAACAGAGCAGGCAAGUUUAUUUAUUUAAAUGCCUUUGAUAUUUUCUUCUCCAUUUCUGUCAGUCAUAUUGGCAAGUAGUAGUGGAACUGUGGAAUAUUUCUUACUAUAAGUAAUAUGAUGUUUCCCAUGUAAGAUAUCAGGCUGUUGGAGAGGCAAAGGCAGGAGAUGUUGUUGGUGAGAUUGGUUUGCUUUGUUACAGGCCACAAAUGUUCACAGUUCGGACCAAACGAUUAAGUCAGCUGUUGCGUCUGAACCGUACUGCAUUUUUAAAUAUUGUACAGUCAAGUGUUGGAGAUGGGACGAUAAUUAUGAACAAUCUUCUUCAGCAUUUGAAACAGUUGAACGAUCCAAUGAUGGAAGGAAUUUUGGCAGAAACAGAGCAUAUGUUGGCUCAUGGGAGAAUGGACCUGCCUCUUACUUUGUGCUUCGCGGCAAUGAGAGGUGAUGAUCUAUUGUUGCAUCAGUUGCUUAAACGGGAUUCAGAUCCAAAUGAGUUGGAUGACAAUGGGCGGACUGCAUUGCACAUUGCAGCUUCAAAUGGGAGUGAGCAUUGUGUAGUCCUCCUUCUAGAGUAUGGAGCUGAUCCUAACAAGAAAGAUUCAGAAGGCAAUGUUCCCCUUUGGGAAGCAUUACUGGGGAAGCAUGAAUCCGUUGUUAAACUUCUUGUAGACAAUGGUGCAACCAUAUCUUCUGGAGAUGUGGGUCAAUUCGCAUUGGCAGCCACUGAGCAAAAUAACUUGGAUUUGCUCAAGGAAAUUGUUAAUUAUGGAGGAGAUGUGACACUGCCCACAAGCAGUGGAACUAUAGCACUUCAUAAAGCAAUAUCUGAAGGAAACACAGAAAUAGUUAAGUUCCUUUUAGAUCAAGGAGCUGAUGUCGAUAUGCCAGAUGUUCAUGGAUGGACAGCAAGGGGUUUGACAAAUCAUCAGGGUCGCGAAGAAAUUCAAGCUUUGGUCCGAACAAGGCAAGAAAGGGAAAAAAAACUGGUUUCCACAGUGCUGCCGCAGCAGCAGCAGGGGAAGCCGCAUAUUGGGAAGCCUAUUGCAAAAUAUAGUAGGGAACCUGCAAUGCCUCGACCUUCAAACCAGGAUGUUGGUUCACCAGCCCCUGGAGUGAUAUUGGCAGAUAAUAGUCAGAGAAGAAGUGUUAACACUUUCCACAAUUCACUUUUUGGGAUCAUGUCAGCUGCUAAUACUGGUGAGCAUGAAAUAAUUGCGUCUCCAGGAGGGGCUGCUGGUGCUGGUUUUCCAAGUAUGAGCUAUCCAGCUAGAGUGACUAUUAGUUGCCCAGAAAAAGAUGAAGUUGACGGAAAGCUUAUUCUGUUGCCAAAGUCACUUCAAGAACUACUCGAUAUUGGUGCCAAAAAAUUUGGAUUCUUCCCCACCAAAAUUCUAAGCAAAGAAGGGGCCGAAAUUGAGGAUUUGGAGCUCAUCAGAGAUGGUGAUCAUCUCGUCCUUGUUAGCAAUGUAGGCACCAGAAUGUAAAAGAUGCUAUACAGGCGAAAGAGUUGGAGAUUGUGAUUUAAGUUUUGCCACAUGAUUACUUGUUGAAUAUGAGAACAUGUGGUAGUCCUUAAUCCUUAUCGUUAUGCUCUUUUCACUCUCUUCGUUUUCAUAAUUUAUCUCGGGUUUUGUUACAUUUUUUUUUUUAUGGAAUAUUAAUACCUUUGCAUAGAGGUCCAAGGAAGAGAUAUGCUUACAAUUUUAUUAAAUUAUUGUGCGUGUAUUCGUG